rnacentral:rRNA from 1 species
AACGAACGCUGGCGGCAGGCUUAACACAUGCAAGUCGAGCGAGACCUUCGGGUCUAGCGGCGGACGGGUGAGUAACGCGUGGGAACGUGCCCUUCUCUACGGAAUAGCCCCGGGAAACUGGGAGUAAUACCGUAUACGCCCUUUGGGGGAAAGAUUUAUCGGAGAAGGAUCGGCCCGCGUUGGAUUAGGUAGUUGGUGGGGUAAUGGCCCACCAAGCCGACGAUCCAUAGCUGGUUUGAGAGGAUGAUCAGCCACUCUGGGACUGAGACACGGCCCAGACUCCUACGGGAGGCAGCAGUGGGGAAUCUUAGACAAUGGGGGCAACCCUGAUCUAGCCAUGCCGCGUGAGUGAUGAAGGCCUUAGGGUUGUAAAGCUCUUUCAGCUGGGAAGAUAAUGACGGUACCAGCAGAAGAAGCCCCGGCUAACUCCGUG